rnacentral:rRNA from 1 species
GACGUAGGGCGCGAGCGUUGUCCGGAUUUAUUGGGCGUAAAGAGCUCGUAGGCGGCUCGGUAAGUCGGGUGUGAAAACUCUAGGCUCAACCUAGAGACGCCACCUGAUACUGCUGUGGCUAGAGUCCGGUAGGGGAGCAUGGAAUUCCUGGUGUAGCGGUGAAAUGCGCAGAUAUCAGGAGGAACACCAGUGGCGAAGGCGGUGCUCUGGGCCGGUACUGACGCUGAGGAGCGAAAGCGUGGGGAGCAAACAGG